AUAAACUCAAGCUGUUUGCUAGCUGCUUCCUCUCGGCCCCGACGACGUAGUGGUUCUUCUCGAAGGCUCUUUCCAGACGGAGGAGCUGGGAGGGAGAGAAGGCUGUCCGGAUGCGUUUGGGUUUUCUGGCGAAAGGACCGUGGAGGAGCAGGCUGUCCUGGGACACGUCGUUACCUGACACCGCAUUAAAGGAAUACAACAAGGGCCGUCAGUUGGCUGCCAAAGGACGAUCCAGAGUGACCUGCCUCUGUCGCCUCGCUGCUGGGACGGAGGGCUCAUUACUGGCACCUGCUGGGCCUCGGCCCUCACCUUGACUAUGAAUGGGCGUCCACGUCAAAGGCCAGGAAAACUACAACUGCUAUGAGAUGCUGCAGAAAGCUCUGGAAGAAAAUCUUAUACAAAAUUCCUGCCCGGAGCCUGGAGCCCCCUACUCUGUGUUGCUGUCCAUCUGUCGGCUGCAGGGCCUCCUCCACCAGCAGAUGUUUACUCCUUCUUCCUCAACCUGGGCCUGGAGGUGUGUGGGGCCGGGGGGGACGGUUGACCAGUGGAGGGCUGACCCCUGACCAGGGGAGAGUCUGCAUUGACACUAUUGUGGACAAUAAGAUGGAACAAUGGUAUGGAUGAACACCAGGGAAGUGGUGGGGGGAAGCAGUGGCUGACUGACCGUCUCCAUGCAUACGUGCCCCACUUUCCCUUGUGUGGAGAUAUAGAGGAAGAAAAAGGCACACAGUUAGUAGUUAUUAAACCUAAUGCAGCUUCACCACAGCAGGCUGCAUCAUUAGGAGAGAACAUGAUCAUUCAUGGUCAUCAUCUUUAUGUGUUUCAAAAUUUCAAAAGUGGAGUAAGAGGAGUACGUUUUUUGUGCAAAGCAAACCUUGCUUCCGUCUAAAAAAUGCAGUAUUUCCAACUGUUCUUCAACUUAAAUGUCCUUAAAAAAAGGUCCGUUCAGUAUAAUUUCCCAUCCAAUGUCAAUUUAUUUAGUUUCAGUCUAAAUCUUGACCCGUACCCACCACAAAAACUGGAAUGCAACUCAGGUGUUUGACCAUAACUAGGAUAAAUCAGAAGACUUUAUAAAAGGUAACUGAUAGUACAACAUUAGGUGCUGUCAGCUUUGCAGUGGUGGUCUUCCUUGUAUCCCCCUUUGGUUUACUAUACUGACAAGAAACACAAUGUUUUGGCAACAUAUCUGCAUCGGCUCAGUUUGCACAUGCUUAUCUUGAAAAACCUCUUAUCAGAAAAGUCUGCCAGCGGGAAACUAGAAAUUCUGUGAUAAGGCAAGGAACACACUGGGACAGUAUUUAAAGGUAGUUUGUUUUUCACUGUAGUUACAGCAGGAAUACAUCUGCAUUUGGGAAAUACACUCAUUCUCCUUUUUGCUGAGAGUUUGAUGAGAAGGUCGAUACCACUCUCAUGUCAGGCUCAGCAGGUAAUUUACUUAGCUUAGCAUAAAGACCAGAAGCAGAGGGGAAAUGGCUAGCUUGGCUCUGUCAAAAGUUUAAAAAAAAAAAAAAAAACUAGCAGCACUUCUAAAUUUGACUAAUUACCACUUUGAAUACAUUUUUUGCCAACAGAAAUGUAAACAAAUGAGUUAUAGUUUUACGGGAGAUUGAAGUGAAAUCAACAACAUUUGUAAUCUGAUAGUCCAAACUAAAUACACUGCAAGUAACAUAACUAUUGAAACGUCUUAGUUUUGACUCGUUUAUGUUCUGUAUAUUUGAUAUUAUUGCUGGUCCUUUUUAUCAUGAAGCAUUUAUCUGGGGGUUAAAAGGUGUUUUAUAGAUUAGUAUUUAUGUACUCACUCACUUAAUCAUCAGGAGAAGGCAUUAGGGCUAAAGUUAAUCCUACUGUUAUGGGCCAAACUUUGAUUGUUGUGUGGAAGAGCAGAGGGUUUAUUUGUGCUUGUAUCUAGUGA